UAACCUGCCCCCUGAAUUUAAUUUUAAAUGGCCGCAGUAAUUUGACUGUGCAAAGGUAGCAUAAUAAUUUGUCUCUUAAUUAGAGGCUUGUAUGAAUGGUUGGACGAGAAAUAAUCUGUCUCUAUUUCAUUCCUUGAAUUUUACUUUUAAGUGAAAAGGCUUAAAUAUAUUUUAAAGACGAUAAGACCCUAUAAAUCUUUAUAUUAAUUUUUUUGCUUUUCAAAAUUUAUUAGUAAACAAAAAAACUAAAAAAUAAUAUUAUAUUGGGGCGAUAAAAAUAUAAACUUAUAUAACUAUUUUUAUAUUAAUACAAUAAUAUUUGAUUUUAAUCAAUAAAAGAUCCUUUCUUAAGAUUCCUAGAUUAAGUUACUUUAGGGAUAACAGCGUUAUUUUUUUUAAGAGUCCUUAUCGAAAAAAAAACUUGCGACCUCGAUGUUGAAUUAAAAUAUUCCUUAUAAAGCAGAAAUUAUAAAGGAAAGUCUGUUCGACUUUUAAAAUUUUACAUGAUUUGAGUUCAAACCGGCGUAAGCCAGGUU
rnacentral:rRNA from 1 species